rnacentral:tRNA from 1 species
GUCUGUUCGACUAUUAAAAUUUUACAUGAUUAGAGUUAAGAUCGGCGUAAGCCAGAUCAGUUUCUAUCUUUA